AUUGAUCCCGUCGGACCCCACUGCUAUCGAGGUGGGACUAAGCAAUGCUAGUCGAACGACCCGAACUAUGUCGGGAAGUGGCACACGGCUCAGUAACACGUAGCUAACCUAACCUAAGGACGGAGAAAACCUCGGGAAACUGAGGUUAAUAACCGAUAGGUAUGAUGUCCUGGAAUGGUAUCAUGCCCAAAGGUGUUCACAGCAUGUUGUAAACAUGCCUUAGGAUGGGGCUGCGGCUGAUCAGGCUGUUGGCGAGGUAAUGGCUCACCAAACCUUUGACCAGUACGGGCCAUGAGAGUGGUAGCCCGGAGAUGGACACUGAGACAAGGGUCCAGGUUCUACGGAACGCAGCAUGCGCGAAACCUCCUCAAUGCACUCAAGUGCGAAGGGGUUACCUCGAGUGCCACCUGAUGAAGGUGGCUUUUGUAUAGUAUAACACACUAUUCGAAUAAGAGGGGGGCAAGACUGGUGUCAGCCGCCGCGGUAACACCAGCCCCUCGAGUGGUGGGGAUGAUUAUUUGGCCUAAAGCGUCCGUAGCCGGCCAUGUAAGUCUCCCGUUAAAUCCAGCGUCUCAAGCGUUGGACUGCGGGAGAUACUGCAAGGCUAGAGGGUGGGAGAGGUAUGCGGUAUUCUGGGGGUAGGGGCGAAAUCCUUUGAUCCCCGGAGGACCACCAGUGGCGAAGGCUGCAUACUAGAACACGCCUGACGGUCAGGGACGAAAGCUGGGGUAGCGAACCGGAUUAGAUACCCGGGUAGUCCCAGCCGUAAACGAUGCACGCUAGGUGUUGGGUCGGCCACGAGCCGCCCCAGUGCCGCAGGGAAGCCGAUAAGCGUGCCGCCUGGGGAGUACGGCCGCAAGGCUGAAACUUAAAGGAAUUGGCGGGGGAGCACCACCAGGCGUGAAGCCUGCGGUUUAAUUGGAGUCAACGCCGGGAACCUUACCGGGAGCGACAGCAGAGUGAAGGCCAAGUUGAAGACUUUGCCAGACAAGCUGAGAGGAGGUGCAUGGCCGUCGCCAGUUCGUGCCGUGAGUGUUCUCUUAAGUGAGAUAACGAACACGGGCAACGGCAGGUCAGUAUGCCCCGAAUCUCCCGGGCCACACGCGGGCUGCAAUGGUAUGGACAGAGGGCUGCAACUCCGAGAGGAGAAGCCAACCCCUAAACCGUACCUCAGUUGGGAUCGAGGGCUGCAACCCGCCCUCGUGAACAUGGAAUGCCUAGUAACCGCCGGUCAUCAUCCGGCGGUGAAUACGUCCCUGCUCCUUGCACACACUGCCCGUCGAACCACCCGAAUGAGGUUUGGGUGAGGCAUGGUCGACAGUUGGCCGUGUCGAACCUGGGCUUCGUAAGGAGGGUUAAGUCGUAACAAGGUGGCCGU
rnacentral:rRNA from 1 species